rnacentral:rRNA from 1 species
UACGGAGGGUGCGAGCGUUGUCCGGAAUCACUGGGCGUAAAGGGCGCGUAGGUGGCGCAGGAAGUCAACGGUGAAAGUUCGGGGCUCAACCCUGAAUCGGCCGUCGAUACUCCUGGGCUCGAGCACUGUAGAGGCAGAUGGAAUUCCGGGUGUAGCGGUGGAAUGCGUAGAGAUCCGGAAGAACACCCGUGGCUAAGGGCGGCUCUCUAGUACGGUACUGAC